UACGUAGGGGGCGAGCGUUAUCCGGAAUUAUUGGGCGUAAAGGGUUCGCAGGUGGUCUCAUAAGUCAGGUGUGAAAGGCAGUGGCUCAACCAUUGUAAGCACUUGAAACUGUGAGACUUGAGUACAGGAGAGGAAAGCGGAAUUCCUAGUGUAGCGGUGAAAUGCGUAGAUAUUAGGAGGAACACCAGUGGCGAAGGCGGCUUUCUGGACUGUAACUGACACUGAGGAACGAAAGCGUGGGGAGCAAACAGGAUUAGAUACCCUGGUAGUCCACGCCGUAAACGAUGAGUGCUAGGUGUUGGGGGUCGAACCUCAGUGCCGCAGCUAACGCAUUAAGCACUCCGCCUGGGGAGUACGGUCGCAAGACUUAA
rnacentral:rRNA from 1 species